rnacentral:rRNA from 1 species
GACGAACGCUGGCGGCGUGCUUAACACAUGCAAGUCGAACGGAAAGGCCCUGCUUUUGUGGGUGCUCGAGUGGCGAACGGGUGAGUAACACGUGAGUAACCUGCCCUUGACUUUGGGAUAACUUCAGGAAACUGGGGCUAAUACCGGAUAGGAGCUCCUGCUGCAUGGUGGGGGUUGGAAAGUUUCGGCGGUUGGGGAUGGACUCGCGGCUUAUCAGCUUGUUGGUGGGGUAGUGGCUUACCAAGGCUUUGACGGGUAGCCGGCCUGAGAGGGUGACCGGCCACAUUGGGACUGAGAUACGGCCCAGACUCCUACGGGAGGCAGCAGUGGGGAAUAUUGCACAAUGGGCGGAAGCCUGAUGCAGCAACGCCGCGUGCGGGAUGACGGCCUUCGGGUUGUAAACCGCUUUCGCCUGUGACGAAGCGUGAGUGACGGUAAUGGGCAAAGAAGCACCGGCUAACUACGUG